UAUGUGGACCCUUUCCUAUACAUUUUCACCAAUUUGCUAGGUGUCCGGUACCACCAGUACAUUUUCUGUAGGUUUUCCUUAAUAAGAUAACAUGCUGAGAAAUUCAUGGUUUCCCCCCAUAGUUUCUCCCAAGCAUUUUUAUAUUGUAACCAAUAUCUAUAGCCCAUUUAAUCACUGUCAUCUUAACCAUCUUGUCUUUACACUCCCACUCCAAUAACAGUUUAUAUAUUUUAGAGAUUAGGGAGGGAAUGAUUAUGGGUCCUACCAUCCUACCUGAUGACAACUGAGAGCUCCAAGGGUGAGUACUAUGUUAUUUUGCCCCACCUUUUAAUGUGAGCUUAAUUUGGGGAGGCAGCAGCAGAAGUGAGAAUACUGCAACCACCAAUAAAUACAUUCUAUAUGUAUAUUUUGUAGGUAGGCUGUUUAUCUCUUGUUUUUCUGUAUUUUGGACAUGCUGUUACGGGGGACGUGGGUGGCGCUGUGGUGUAAAUUACUGAGCCUUAGGCUUGCCGAUCAGAAGGUUGGCGGUUCGAAUCCCCGCGACAGGUGAGCUCCCGUUGUUCAGUCCCUGCUCCUGCCAACCUAGCAGUUCAAAAGCACGUCAAAGUGCAAGUAGAUAAAUAGGUACCGCCCCAGCGGGAAGGUAAACAACGUUUCCAUGCGCUGCUCUGGUUCGCCAGAAGUGACUUAGUCAUGCUGGCCACAUGACCUGGAAAAACUGUCUGCGGACAAACAUCGGCUCCCUUGGCCAGUACAGUACAGUACAUCGGCUCCCUUGUCCCCAUUCGCAUCCUGAGUAGAAUGUAACAUGCGACUGCGCGCGUUGUGUUUCGCCGCUUCCGCGCCUGCGCGUGACGUCAUUUUGAGCGCCUGCGCAAGCGGCGAAACCCGGAAGUAACACGUUCCAUUACUUCCAGGUCACCACAGAGCAUAACCUGAAAACGCUCAACCUGAAGCAUAUUUAACCCGAGGUAUGACUGUAAAGCGAGAUGAGCGCCGCAAUCCCAGAGUUUUCGCGACUGGACUUAGCUGUCAGGGGUCCUUUACCUUUCACCUUUAGUAGUUAUUAUGGUCCCAUAUGUUAAUAUGGAUCUUUAAUAGGAUAUCUUACCUAAUAGUUCUUUGUGGCUCUAAAAUGUGGAGUUUUUAUUGUAUUUGGCUUUUAGUUAUAUUUGUAGAACGCUCCUAACCACUCAGAUGUUUAUUCUGUUGAUGAAGUGGUUGUAUAUAAAUUACUUAAAUAAAUGAAAUGAAAUGAUUCUCCUACAAGCAUGCUGCACGCCACACACUGUGUGCUUCCUUAAGUAACAGUGAGAAGCAGAAAGGGAUUAAUGGAAACAGUUGCUCUGGUACUUGUGCUGUGGGACAACAUUCUAAUAAUCCCAAAGUGUGAAUGUUCAGUGCAUAAUUGCUGCCCAGCAAACAAAUACCAUAUCCACCAAGUUUUAAGCUACUUAUGCUCCUUAUCUGCUUCAGGGUACAUUGUCCCAGCACAUUUAAUACUUGCCCUUAAGGAAAAAAAUACUAUGUACGUAAAUAUUCCUUUGACCAGUGGUCCUGCAGCAAGGGGCUAUACGAAGCACAGCUUAGGUGAGAUAGCAUCCAAAAGAGGAUGGCUGCUGUGAUAAUCACUAAAAGGAUCCUUCCUUUGUCAUAACAGAUAUACAUUUUACUCUGACAGCAGCUUUUAUAUGCCUGUCAACUACAAUAUGAGUCAGUAUUCAAGACAUUAUCAAUUACAGGCAUUGGAGGAUGUGAAGGUCAUUAAACACAAAUUAUCUCCCUGUCUGUUAAGCUGUUUAAAAAAUGCCAGAAAAUGCAGCUGGUGAAUUUUGAGCUAUCACUGUCUGGUUUUAUGCACGUUUACGCAGAAGUAAGUUCCAAUGAUUUCAUUGUGAAUUGUUCCCAAGUAAUUGUAUUUAACAAUUGCAGGUUCAGAGUCAGUGGUAAUUUACAAGCUAGAAUUCAGCCACAUUUUCAUUUCUGUAAAUCAUUUCAAAUAACUAUAUGUGAAACUAUAAAGUGUCAUUCAAGAGAGGAAAUUUAAAUCACCUGUUCCAAAUAAAGAUAAUCAUUGAAGUAUCCUCCUGCAGAGAAGUUGUAUGGAUGCUGUAAAAUGAUUGACAAAAAUGCACAUUUGAAAUGCUGGAAGUUUGUUUCCGCCCAAUAAAUUUUAUUAAAGUUUGAAAGAAAUUAUACAUAGGUUAAUAUCUGUUUAUCAAUUUAUUUAUUUUUUUAAAAAACCUAAUCUACCGGUAAAUAAAAACACAAACCAAAAGGAGGAAAAGAAAUACUGGAAGUUAUCUGAAGGUACCUCGGGUUACGUACUUAAUUCAUUCCGGAGGUCCGUUCUUAACCUGAAACUGUUCUUAACCUGAAGGACCACUUUAGCUAAUGGGGCCUCUUGCUGCGGCUGCGCCGCCACACGAUUUCUGUUCUCAUCCUGAAGCAAAGUUCUUAACCCAAGGCACUAUUUCUUGGUUAGCGGAGUCUGUAACCUGAAGCGUAUGUAACCCGAGGUACCACUGUAGUGAGAACUGCAAAUGCCAAUUUACAUCACUGGGCUUCAUUGAAAUAAAUGCAAGCUAUAAAUAAAGCAAAAAAUGGCUCCUGGGAAGGUAUGGAAUGGGUCAAUAUGAUAGAGCCCAGAGAUAGGAGGAAAUGAUGAGGAGUAGCAGUGGCAGAGCUUGAGAGAGUGAGAGCUUGAGAGACUGACAUCAUGAUCCAUGUUAGUCAAAUUUCAGACCUGAGAGUAAAAUGAUGGCCCCUGGGGCUGCAGUGGCAGCCCUGGGACUGAAAUGGGGCCACUAGACAGGGCCUGUUAUUCCAUUCCUAGAGCCAUCAUUGGAGUUCCAUGUCAUAACAUUCAUAAGAACCCUGCUGGAUCAGUCUCAGGGGCAGGGGAGAAUUGCUGUCUCUCCCCACUCCACUUCUGUCCCCGGAAUGCCCUGGCUCUCACCCAACUCAGUAAGAGCCAGGGCAUUCUGCACUGAACUCGGUAAGAGCUAGGGGGCAGGGAAGACAAGUGGCAGCACCACGCUCCAGAACAGCCACUGUCUUGACAGUGGCAGCAGCGGUGGGAUGGGCAGAGUGCCACCUCUUGCACUUCCACUGCCUGGGGUGGGUGCUUCACUCUGUUUUAUGGGAAGGCCAGCCCUGAUCAGACCAAAGUCCAUCUACUCUAGCAUCUGGUUCUCACAACCUCACUCUCACUGGUUGUGCUUCCCAGCAACUGGUGUUUAGAGGCCUAUUGCCGUCAACUAAGAGGUAGCACACAGCCAUUGUGGCUAGUAGCUACUGAUAACCUUAUCUGCCAUUAGGCUGAUGGGAAUUUUAGUUCAGAAACAUCUGGCGGGUGAGAGGUUCCCCACCCUUGAUGCAACAUCUUGUCUUAAGAAGAGUCUGGAGAAUUUGAAAACUUAACACAUUUUGGUGAUGUUCUGACUGGUACAAGUACAGUAUAGCCAUUGCCCAACUAUGGAGUUUUAUCCUGGUAAUACCCUUCAUUAGGGCUAUAUCUAGGGUGAUGUUCUGCUCCUCAAGAUAGUGAACACUGUUACAGAGGUGCUUACUUCCCUCUAGAGGCGUUAUGGGGAACAGUAACUGUGAGCAGAUCUACUUGCAAGAGAGGGAGAAAGAGAGAGAGAUGGGCAUUGCUAUGUUGAACAGCAAGCUGGGGUCCUCCUCCGUAUGAAUAAUAGACAUGUUGGCAAAAAACCAGGCUGCCCUUUCACACAGAUUCACUUGCAGAGUCUGUCUUCCUCUCCUGCUAGCAGGGCAGGUUUCAAGGAAGGGCUGCAACUGGCUGGGUGAAGCAAUUCAUUUUUUCAUUGUAAGUUUUUAAACUGUUUAAAAUUAUUGUAACCCACCCUGGGACCUUAGGGUGAAGGGUGGGAUAAUAAUAAUAAUAAUAAUAAUAAUAAUAAUAAUAAUAAUAUGUUGGGGGGGUUAGCUGAAGUGCAGACUGGAAUUACCAUACUGAUUAUUAGUUAAGCUUUGAGGCUCCAAUACUUUGGCAACCUCAUAGAAGAGAGACUCCCUGGAAAAGACCCUGAUGUUGGGAAAGAUUGAGGGCACAAGGAGAAGGGGACGACAGAGGACGAGAUGGUUGGACAGUGUUCUUGAAGCUACUAAAAUAAGUUUGACCAAACUGUGGGAGGCAGUGGAAGACAGGAGUGCCUGGCAUGCUCUGGUCCAUGGGGUCACGAAGAGUCGAACAUGACUAAACGACAACAAAGUUAAGCUUUGACCAUUGGCCUUUUGGGGAAAGCCCAUCACUCUGUGAGGGAAGGGUUGUUGUUGAGCGGAAGAACAUCUGCUUGACAUGCAGAAGGACCCAGGUUCAAUCCCCAAUAUCUCCAGAAAGUGCUCUGAGAGACCCUACCUGAAACCCUGUAAAACUGCUGCCAGUCAUUAUAGAUGAUACUGACCUAGAUGGACCAAUGGUCUGACUCAGUACAAGGAACUUUCCUAUGCAACACAGUGCAAUUGUAUAUUCUCGUCCUAUGGUCCUUCGCCAGUUGUGCAUUUUGCUUGCCUCAGUUUCUAGUCCUGCUUCUAACCAUGGAAACUUAGCUUUCAUUCAAAAUAUACUGAACCUGCCGCCACGACUCCAUCAAUGAGUGCAUUCAUUUGUUCCAUCAGAUGCAGAGCAUCCUUUUCAUUUAUCCACCAUGCUCCAAAAGUCAUAGAACCAAUUCCACCUUAGAAAGAAAGUUAAUUACAUUUGCUUUGUAGUAUUUGCAAGGGCAAUUUCCAAUGCUAACGCUUUUUAGAUUAUGCUUUUGAGGUUUCAGGUGACUUGUGGAUGAGCACAUUUUCAUAUUUCUUACCAGUAAUAAUUUAUAUAAAAUAUUGUUUUACUCAUCACUUUAACUCAUUUAUUUCUUUAACCUCUAGCAAUCUGGUAGAUUAAUGCUUUAUUAUGUGAUUCUAGGUGUAUUUAUUUACACCCCACAUUUUUUCACCAUUGCCAAAGGCUAAUAUAAUCAACAUUUAAUUGAAAAUAUAUGCCGUAAGGCUACAGUCCUGUCCAUACUUAGCUGGGACUCAAUGGGACUCAAUGAGUUUUAAGUAGAUAAACUACAGGAAUGCACUGUGAAACAGCUAAAAUAUGAAGGGUAUACAAUCCAUUUAGAAGGUUUCUUAUGCAAAGCCCCAUUUAAAUGAGUGGGGAUUGCACAGUUGGAAUAACUGUGUGUAGUUAUACACACUUAAGUCCCAUUAAAAAAAAUUAUGGGUAGGGCUAGGAGAGAACCCUGUCUGAAAUUUUGGAGAGCCUUAGCCAGUCAGUGCAGACAGUACUGAGCUAGAUAGACCAAUGGUAGAACUUAAUAUACAGUGGUACCUCAGGUUACAUAUGCUUCAGGUUACAGACGCUUCAGGUUACACACUCCGCUAACCCAGAAAUAGUGCUUCAGGUUAAGAACUUUGCUUCAGGUUGAGAACAGAAAUCAUACUCCGGCGGCGCGGCGGCAGCAGGAGGCCCCAUUAGCUAAAGUGCUACUUCAGGUUAAGAACAGUUUCAGGUUAAGUACGGACCUCUGGAACGAAUUAAGUACUUAACCCGAGGUACCACUGUAAAGAAGAUUCCUAUAUUACAAAUACAUAAUAUAAAUACUUAUCUGCAACUCAUCUACACCACAAAUUAUUAUUAUUAUUAUUAUUAUUAUUAUUAUUAUUAUUAAUAUACCGCCCUAUACCUGGGGGUCUCAGGGCGGUUCACAGAAUAAAAUCAAGAUCUAAAACCACAAAAUACAUUCUAAAAAUAAAAACAACAACCCAAUAGACACCCCCCCCGUGUAAUUCCUUGUAGGCAGGUUCCAGGUAUUGCAUAUUAAAACAGCUUUAUCUCAAACUAUAGGCUAGACCUACUUAAGGGGGCACAUGUCUUAAAGGUUUGUAAGCAGUCGAGGCUCAGGGUUUCUCCCCCCCCCCAAAUUAAUUGCAAUCCCAAGGACUUUGCCAAAAGCAGGCAUAAAUCUACAGGAGCAUGACUGCUGCAUCCCAGUUUCCUUAAAUUGGACAAAAUGAAGAACUUAACACAAAGCACAUUGUUAAACUAUGGAAUUUGCUCCCACGAGAGGUAGUGAUAGCCACCAACUUGAAUUGCUUUGAAAGAGGGUUAGACAAAUUCAUGGAGGUUAUCAAUGCCUACUCACCAUGACGGCUACGUUCUACGAGUGUCAGAGGCUGUAAAACCUCCGAAUGCCAGUUGCUGGGAAUCACAUGCGAGGAGAGUGCUGUUAUACCAUUAGGUCCAGUCGUGGCCGACUCUGGGGUUGCAGCGCUCAUCUCGCUUUAUUGCCCGAGGGAGCCGGCGUACAGCUUCCGGGUCAUGUGGCCAGGAUGACUAAGCCGCUUCUGGCGAACCAGAGCAGCACACGGAAACACCGUUUACCUUCCCGCUGGAGCGAUACCUAUUUAUCUACUUGUACUUUGACGUGCUUUCGAACUGCUAGGUUGGCAGGAGCAGGGACCGAGCAACGGGAGCUCACCCCGUCACGGGGAUUCAAACCGCUGACCUUCUGAUCGGUUAGGUCCUGCUUAAUGUUUUUUGUUUAGCCACUUUGAGAACAGGAUGCUGCCCUAGAUGGGUCAUUGGCCUAAAUUAGCAGAAUCUUCCCAUGUUGUUGUGGCGAUGAAGUGGCAAAGAGAGGAAUAUGGGAUGAAACCGAGAACAGUUCAAGGAUGGGGAUGAAAUUAUGUUGGAGGUACUGUAUAUAGAGUGAAAUGGAGGAAGGUGACACCAUGCAUUUGAUGUAAAAGCCAGGUGUGCAUAGCAACGAGAAUGAGAUCUAUGGUCUAGUUAGUUUUAAGCACAAGGGUUGUGGGCAAGCAUGGUUUUAAAAUGGGAUAGACAUUGCGCUCAGAUCCUGCUUGUGGGCUUCUCAUGGGCAUCUGGUCGUUCACUGUGAGAACAGGAUGUUGGACUUGGUGGGCCACAGGCCUGAUCCAGCAGACUCUUCUUAAGUUCUUAUUGCAUUAAAAUAAACAAUAUUUUCCAAUGAUCUUGCACGGUUCUUAACGAACCAGUGCAGACAAAGCGUGAUUGUUGAAAGCCUCUAGCAUAGAAGUAAGCACUGCAAACUAUGGCAGUCCUAAAAAUAAGAGGAAUAAUUGUUCUGUAAAUCAGUUUUAAACCUACCCAGACAUGUUCAAGUUCUCUCAUCCAAGCUCCUCAAGAGAACAUACCGGUAACAGAAAUAGAAAACAUCUAGAGAAUAGAAAAAUGAAUGAAAGUCUUAGGUCAUUUUUAUAUGCUAAGAGGCUGAAAAGAUGCAAACUAAUUAAUUCAGAAGGGACAUCAAGAGGAGCAGGCAUGGCAGAUAAUAAAUGAAUAGCACUGGAAAGACAAAUUGAGUUCUUUUCCUUCGUUUAACCUUUGCAUUAAUCAAGAACAUAAGGCAGAUUCAAAACCAACAAUGUGCAAAGUAAUAAAAGGAAGUUUUAAUGGUGUAUUUUAUAGUUAACCUGUGGGUCAAAUUGGCAUAUGACAUAUCAGGGGAAAGUGUUAUUUCAGUAUAUUGCAGAACUGCUAAAACAAGUUACAGGAAAAAAUACCGUAUUUUUCGCCCUGUAGGACGCACUUUUUCCCCUCCAAAAAUGAAGGGGAAAUGUGUGUGCGUCCUAUGGGGCGAAUGCAGGCUUUCGCUGAAGCCUGGAGAGCGAGGGGGGUCGGUGCGCACCGACCCCUCUCGCUCUCCAGGCUUCGGGAAGCUCUCCGCAAGCCGUGGGAGAGCUGUGCGACUUCGCUCUCUCCGCAAGCCGUGGGAGAGCUGUGCGAAGUCGCGCAGCUGUCCCACGGCUUGCGGAUAGCAACCUGUUCUGGGGGCUGGGAUCGGGGGAAGCUCGGGCUUCCCCCGCCCCAGCCCCGCACCUGCGGGGGAAAUAUAUUUUUUUCUUUAUUUCCCCCCAAAAAAACUAGGUGCGCCCUAUGGCCCGGUGCACCCUAUGGGGCGAAAAAUACAGUAACUUGGAACCUUGUAUUUUAAAACAAACAUAGGGAAUGCUGCCUGCACUGGGAGAAACCUCAUUCUAUGGACAAUAGCCAUAUUCACAAUAAAGAUGUUACAUAAGGUAAGCAUUGGUACAUUUCAGUUUAAGCUCUCCUUGGUUCUUUGAUGAUAAACCUAUCUGGCCAUUUCCCUUCUGCUGUAGAAAUCCACUUUGGGAGUUACAUUGUCCUUCAUAGUAGAUCAGUGUCUUGUGGGUCACCCCUAAAACCUGUUGUAUUCAGUGUGAUUAGUUAAAUUUAGGACUGUAAUCUUAGUAUUUGUGCUCAUGGGCCCAAAAAGAUUGGUGAGACCUGGUGCAUAACAGUUGACUAUUCUUCUGGGUCAAACUUUGCUUUGAGCUCAUAGUCACAUGAGUUGUGUUCUGGCCUUAUUGUCAGCUCACAUCUCA